ensembl:snRNA U6 U6 spliceosomal RNA
GUGCUCAUUUUGACGGCACAUAUACCAGAAUUGGAAUGAUACAAGAUUAGCAUGAUCCCUGUGCAAGGAUGACAUACAAAUCUGUGAAGUGCUCCAUAUUUUU